AGCGAACGCUGGCGGCAGGCCUAACACAUGCAAGUCGAACGAACUCUUCGGAGUUAGUGGCGGACGGGUGAGUAACACGUGUGAACGUGCCUUUUGGUUCGGAAUAACUCAGGGAAACUUGUGCUAAUACCGAAUGUGCCCUUCGGGGGAAAGAUUUAUCGCCAUUAGAGCGGCCCGCGUCUGAUUAGCUAGUUGGUGAGGUAACGGCUCACCAAGGCGACGAUCAGUAGCUGGUCUGAGAGGAUGACCAGCCACACUGGGACUGAGACACGGCCCAGACUCCUACGGGAGGCAGCAGUGGGGAAUCUUGCGCAAUGGGCGAAAGCCUGACGCAGCCAUGCCGCGUGAAUGAUGAAGGUCUUAGGAUUGUAAAAUUCUUUCACCGGGGAUGAUAAUGACGGUACCCGGAGAAGAAGCCCCGGCUAACUUCGUG
rnacentral:rRNA from 1 species